UCCCUGGAGGACUAGUGCUUAGGCCACAGCACUCUCACUACUGCAACUUGGGUUCAAUUCCUAGCCAGGGUA